GUUCAGCUUCAAGGGAAUUUUUCUCUUCUUCAUGGGGAGCCUGAAGAAUCAGAACUGUCAUGCCAAAGAAAGAGAAGCAAGCGUAGGGAGGAAAAAAACAAGUCUGAUAUUUAUACGGACUCAUCUAUUGCUGAAACUGCUCACCUUCAACAACAAAAUGAACUUCAUAGCAAGAUCUUAUCCCCAAAAUGGCUUAUUCCUAGGAAUAAGGCUUGUUGAGCAGACUUGCGGGCUCUACCCAAGUAACACCCAGCCC
rnacentral:lncRNA from 1 species